UUUAUAAAGGUGUAAUUGCACAGGAAGGUUUGAUUUUCCAAGCACUGCGGAGGCAGAGUA
rnacentral:tRNA from 1 species